rnacentral:rRNA from 1 species
GAUGAACGCUGGCGGCGUGCUUAACACAUGCAAGUCGAACGAGGCACUUGAUUUGAUUUCCUUCGGGACUGAUUAUUUUGUGACUGAUUGGCGGAUGGGUGAGUAACGCGUGGGUAACCUGCCUUGUACAGGGGGAUAACAGUUGGAAACGGCUGCUAAUACCGCAUAAGCGCACGGCAUCGCAUGAUGCAGUGUGAAAAACUCCGGUGGUAUAAGAUGGACCCGCGUUGGAUUAGCUAGUUGGUGAGGUAACGGCCCACCAAGGCGACGAUCCAUAGCCGACUUGAGAGGAUGACCGGCCACAUUGGGACUGAGACACGGCCCAAACUCCUACGGGAGGCAGCAGUGGGGAAUAUUGCACAAUGGGCGAAAGCCUGAUGCAGCGACGCCGCGUGAGCGAAGAAGUACUUCGGUAUGUAAAGCUCUAUCAGCAGGGAAGAUAAUGACGGUACCUGACUAAGAAGCACCGGCUAACUCCGUG